rnacentral:rRNA from 1 species
GUUCUUUUGUUUAAAUAAAAGAUCUGACCUGCCCAAUGAUUUUUAUUUAAUGGCUGCAGUAUUUUGACUGUACAAAGGUAGCGUAAUCAUUUGUCUUUUAAUUGAAGUCUAGAAUGAAUGGUUUGAUGAAAAAUAUACUUUCUUUUUUUUAUAAGAAAAAUUUAAUUUUUAAGUUAAAAAGCUUAAAUUUAAUUGUAGGACGAGAAGACCCUAUAGAACUUUAUUAUUAUAUAUAUAUAAAACAAUAUAUAUAAUAUAUGUUUAUAUAUAUAUAAUAAUUAUAUUGGGGUGAUAGAAAAAAAUUAAUAACUUUUUUUAUUUUUAUCAUUUAUUUAUGUUUAGUUUUUGAUCCUUUUUUAAGGAAAUAAGAUUAAGUUACCUUAGGGAUAACAGCGUUAUUAUUUUGGAGAGUUCAUAUCGAUGAAAUAGUUUGCGACCUCGAUGUUGGAUUAUAAUUAGAUAUAGGAGUAGAAUAUUAUAUUCUAGGUCUGUUCGACCUUUAAAUUUUUACA